rnacentral:misc_RNA from 1 species
UUGAUUAUAAUUUUACAGAAAAGAUAUGCAACUUUGGAGAUAGACUCAGCACCAGCAGUAUGUCUUCAGAAAUAGAAAAUAAGGUUCAUCUUGGCAGUGGUUUCUAUUGCACAAAUGCAGGUUUCGCAGCUAUGAAAGCAGCAAAAAAUGAUUGCGACUGGGCUGCAGUCCUUCUUAUUGGAGUUUUCGGCGAAGAUGCUAAAUUAAUGAGGAUUUAUCCUAGAAAAGAAGGAUUAAAAAAAUUUCCACUUGGAUUCCUGAUGCUAGCUCAAAACUUGUUCAGAGAGCGAUUAAAAAAUGAUAAUUAUGAAGGUGACAUUGAUCAAAUGAUCAAAUCACUGCCAGCUUAUCUCUCAGAUCGAGCGCUAGAUCUUGGAGGAGAAAGAAGUACAUCCUCUCGUGCAAAACACUCGAAGAAAUAUAAAUAUAAAAAUAUAUCGCAGAGAAAAGGAGGCAACAGUAGCAGAUCCAUUAAUAGUUUCAACUGUUACAUCUGUAACUUCAACUGUUUUACAGAAGCCAUUGGUAUUUAAGAACAAAAAAUCAAACUUCGCCAAAUUUCAAGAUAUCGAUUUAAUUGAAAAUACAUAAUCAUAUAUGAACACACAUCAAGACAUCUUAAAUAUCUUAAAUAUAAUCAGACUCGGACCGGAAUUACUCAGAACCGUAAUCGUUUUGUAGUAAAUAAACAAACACAAAAUGUUUUCUGCAGUUGAUUAUUUUUUUUAUCAGUUAAAUAUUAUUUGCAGUAU